GCCAUCAAAGGCAACACUAAUUCAUAUUUUUGUUUAUAAAAAUAUUUUGUGUUAAAAAGGGUUAUUAAUAUAAAAAAUGUUUUCUAAUCAAUUGAAAUAAAUAUGUGAUAUUUUACAAUAAAUAAAUAAUGGUGUUAAGUUAAGUUAAAAUAAGUUAAAAACUUUAUUUAAAAGGGGGAACCUAUUUUUUGUUCCAUGUCAUUUUUGUUCCUAUGGGGGAUGUUAUAUGGGUUGCCACACCAGGGUGAGUCUCACAUGGUCCAGAAGGGAGAAGUCUGCGAGAGUUAAGCCAGUGAAAGAAUUUGAAGAGAAAUUAAGACGUUUUUCUUUUUGGAAGUUUUACCCUCUUGAGUUAAUGCGGCCAAUGAGUUCUGACGGCACUGUUGGGGCACUGUUGGGGCAUGGAAAGAACAUGUGAAGGCAUGUAGAAGAAUCUUUGUGUCCGAAUAAAUGUCUGUUAAAAACCAAGAACCGUUUGUGCCUUUCGUCGAGCUCAAGAGGAGUAACAUACCCAAACA